CCAGAGGACGGGAAUACAAAUGGUGGCCUCCUGGUCUCCGGCUUGAAGGAGCCGAGAGCCCAGGGCCCCACUCCUCAGUGCGCCCUCAGAGAACAGCGCCCAGUCACUCCCGUCUGCCUGACCUCCGGCCGCGCUCCGAGCUCACCGAGCCUGCGACCGGUUCAAGGUUGGUUCAAAUUCCUCUUCUGCUUGGACCUGAGUGUACACCAACUCCAUCCCAGGAUGCAAUGGAAGAUGCGGAGGAGGGAGCCAACAUGGUGGACAAGGACGCUCUUCUCGCUUCUCUUGGGUGAUGUCUCUACAGUGUAGCUUCAUUAUUGAAGCACAUCUCACCCAAUACAAAACCACACACCCAAAUGUGUUCCAAACGUAACUAUGCACUAUUUUCAGACUCUCAACUAUUUGAGACUCUCCAUACAUCUGCUUCCCUCUCCACUAUUAGAAAUGAUCAAGACUUGACUCUUUGUAAUUCCACAAAAUUCUCUUGUUUGUUCCCAAUUCUGCCUCCUCUUCCUGCUGUAUUUUCACAGGAUAAUGUAAAACAAAGUGACAGUGAAGUGAGGAAGGUCUGGUUCUAUCUGUGAAGCUAAUCGAAUCCUCCCAAGGCGGUUGCCUACAGCAUCCUGACCCUUGCUGGGAAUCUUCAAUAUUGCGAUGAAAAGUGCAAAUUGUAGUUCAAAUACGUCUUUGCUCUAAGUGCAUUGGGUCAUUUACCUUAACAAUGUGAAUGUGCUCUCAUUAUCAUGUUCAACUUGAUUAGUGUAUGGUCUAACAUUUAAAAGUGCACUUCAGAUAAAAGAAUGUAUAAAUGCAUGAUUGGUUCCUAAUAAAUUGAGCAACCCCUUAGUGAACUGUGA